rnacentral:rRNA from 1 species
CCAGUCGAGCGGACAGAAGGGAGCUUGCUCCCGGAUGUUAGCGGCGGACGGGUGAGUAACACGUGGGUAACCUGCCUGUAAGACUGGGAUAACUCCGGGAAACCGGAGCUAAUACCGGAUAGUUCCUUGAACCGCAUGGUUCAAGGAUGAAAGACGGUUUCGGCUGUCACUUACAGAUGGACCCGCGGCGCAUUAGCUAGUUGGUGGGGUAAUGGCUCACCAAGGCGACGAUGCGUAGCCGACCUGAGAGGGUGAUCGGCCACACUGGGACUGAGACACGGCCCAGACUCCUACGGGAGGCAGCAGUAGGGAAUCUUCCGCAAUGGACGAAAGUCUGACGGAGCAACGCCGCGUGAGUGAUGAAGGUUUUCGGAUCGUAAAGCUCUGUUGUUAGGGAAGAACAAGUGCGAGAGUAACUGCUCGCACCUUGACGGUACCUAACCAGAAAGCCACGGCUAACUACGUGCCAGCAGCCGCGGUAAUACGUAGGUGGCAAGCGUUGUCCGGAAUUAUUGGGCGUAAAGGGCUCGCAGGCGGUUUCUUAAGUCUGAUGUGAAAGCCCCCGGCUCAACCGGGGAGGGUCAUUGGAAACUGGGAAACUUGAGUGCAGAAGAGGAGAGUGGAAUUCCACGUGUAGCGGUGAAAUGCGUAGAGAUGUGGAGGAACACCAGUGGCGAAGGCGACUCUCUGGUCUGUAACUGACGCUGAGGAGCGAAAGCGUGGGGAGCGAACAGGAUUAGAUACCCUGGUAGUCCACGCCGUAAACGAUGAGUGCUAAGUGUUAGGGGGUUUCCGCCCCUUAGUGCUGCAGCUAACGCAUUAAGCACUCCGCCUGGGGAGUACGGUCGCAAGACUGAAACUCAAAGGAAUUGACGGGGGCCCGCACAAGCGGUGGAGCAUGUGGUUUAAUUCGAAGCAACGCGAAGAACCUUACCAGGUCUUGACAUCCUCUGACAACCCUAGAGAUAGGGCUUUCCCUUCGGGGACAGAGUGACAGGUGGUGCAUGGUUGUCGUCACCUCCUGUCGUGAGAUGUUGGGUUAAUCCCGCACCAGCGCACCCUUGAUCUUAUUGCCGCAUUUAUUGGGCAUCUAAGUGACGCCGGUGACAACCGAAGAAAGUGGGAUGAGUCAAUCU